rnacentral:lncRNA from 1 species
UUAUUUUCAAUAGUCAUCUGGAGGGUAAUAACGCCACAAAGGAAGAACAUGUAUUAUCACACACCAGGAAAUUGUAGAAUUGAUUUGUUCUGACGCAAAAGCUCCACUUUGUUGCUUCACAAAGAAUCGAUUUUGAGCAUCAAAAGUGCUUCGCUUUUUCCAAUCCAAACAACUGUACAAAAGAGUAGAAUCACAUUUAACACUUUAAACGUGAGUCCAAGGCUGAAAAACGCUCAUCCAAACAAGCACUAA